GCUUCCUCUCUGCCCUUUCUGGUCUUAGGGCCUGAACAGUACCCCCUCCCGGUCACCUUUCUGUUCUGUUCUGCUUGGCUUCCUGCUCAGAGCCCCGAGUCUCCUCAACUCACCGAGUCUCCUCAACUCACCAUCUUCGGUCUUCGCUUCGAGGUCUCCUUGGCCCCACGCUCUAGCCUCGCCUCACCUACGUAAGAUCUCGCUUCCUAAUUUGUCUGCCCUCUACAGGUUUGUGCUUUGCCCAAGCCGCCAUGGAAAGUGACUUAGUGGGCCCAGAGGGCAGCCAGGAUGUUUCCAGAGUGGAGGGAACAGAGGUCUUGUCACCCCCACUCCAAGCCUCUCCUGUAAUUGCCACUGCGAACUUAGCUGCCAGGCAGGGCAGGUCUACCCAGAGCAGGAGAGCGCAAGGCGGUUCAGGAUUCAGGCUUCCUGGCCCAGAGAGGGUGGAGUCCAACCAGGAAGAGCGUCUCAUUCCUCUCUCACAGAUGAUCCCAUACAUCUCCUGUUUUAUUUGCAAAGGCUACUUAAUAGAUGCGGCGACCAUUACAGAAUGUCUUCAUAGUUUCUGUAAAAGCUGCAUCGUAAAACAUUUUGAACACAGCAACAGAUGUCCUAAGUGCAACCUUAUAGUGCACCAGGCCAAACCUCAUAAAAACUUGAGGAUGGAUCCACAAUUACAAAGCAUAGUAUACAAAUUAGUGGCAGGUCUAGAGGAAAAUGAAAAAAAGCAGAGGCGUGAAUUUAAUAAAGAACAUUGUCUGGGACCACCAGAACCCGCUGCUGAUCCACAGCCAGGCCAUUCAAGUGAAGAGAACACUAAGGAAGUUGUGGAAUAGUGUCUUAGUUUAUGUGAUCUGGUAUGUCUUUAGUACUGGAGUCUAUGGGUACUAAUGCAUACACUGAACAUGUUAAGCACUGAAAAUCCACGUUUAUCUGAGUCUCAGGAAAUGAAACCACUGGACAGAGAGAAACAUUUCUCAAAAAAACAACAAGCUUUGCUGCAGCU
rnacentral:lncRNA from 1 species